UUUUGUAAAAGGCAAAAUAAAUGAAAAUUUAUGACGCAAAGCCAAGGUCUAAGAGCUAUAUGCUUAUGAUAGCUAGGUUGCACAA
rnacentral:ncRNA from 1 species